CCCGAAGUUAAGCAUCGUAGAGCCAGGUCAGUAAUUAGAUGGGGGACCGCUUGGGAACACCUGGUACUGUAAG